GAGUUUGAUCUUGGCUCAGAUUGAACGCUGGCGGCAGGCCUAACACAUGCAAGUCGGGCGGUAGAGAGAAGCUUGCUUCUCUUGAGAGCGGGCGGACGGGUGAGCAAUGCCUAGGAAUCGUGCCGUGGUAGUGGGGGAUAACGCUCGGAAACGGACGCUAAUACCGCAUACGUCCUACGGGAGAAAGCGAGGGGACCUUCGGGCCUUGCGCUAUCAGAUGAGCCUAGGUCGGAUUAGCUAGUUGGUGAGGUAAUGGCUCACCAAGGCGACGAUCCGUAACUGGUCUGAGAGGAUGAUCAGUCACACUGG
rnacentral:rRNA from 1 species